rnacentral:rRNA from 1 species
GACGAACGCUGGCGGCGUGCUUAACACAUGCAAGUCGAACGGAAAGGCCCUGCUUUUGUGGGGUGCUCGAGUGGCGAACGGGUGAGUAACACGUGAGUAACCUGCCCUUGACUUUGGGAUAACUUCAGGAAACUGGGGCUAAUACCGGAUAGGAGCUCCUGCUGCAUGGUGGGGGUUGGAAAGUUUCGGCGGUUGGGGAUGGACUCGCGGCUUAUCAGCUUGUUGGUGGGGGAGUGGCUUACCAAGGCUUUGACGGGUAGCCGGCCUGAGAGGGUGGCCGGCCACAUUGGGACUGAGAUACGGCCCAGACUCCUACGGGAGGCAGCAGUGGGGAAUAUUGCACAAUGAGCGGAAGCCUGAUGCAGCAACGCCGCGUGCGGGAUGACGGCCUUCGGGUUGUAAACCGCUUUCGCCUGUGACGAAGCGUGAGUGACGGUAAUGGGUAAAGAAGCACCGGCUAACUACGUG